GAUGAACGCUGGCGGCGUGCCUAAUACAUGCAAGUCGAGCGAACGGACGAGAAGCUUGCUUCUCUGAUGUUAGCGGCGGACGGGUGAGUAACGCGUGUAUAACCUACCUAUAAGACUGGGAUAACUACGGGAAACCGUAGAUAAUACCGGAUAAUAUUUUGAACCGCAUGGUUCAAAAGUGAAAGACGGUCUUGCUGUCACUAAUAGAGGGAUCCGCGCUGCAUUAGCUGGUUGGUAAGGUAACGGCUUACCAAGGCAAGGAUGCAUAGCCGAGCUGAGAGGCGGAUCGGCCACACUGGAACUGAGACACGGUCCAGACUCCUACGGGAGGCAGCAGAAGGGAAUCUUCCGCAAUGGGCGAAAGCCUGACGGAGCAACGCCGCGUGAGUGAUGAAGGUCUUCGGAUCGUAAAACUCUGUUAUUAGGGAAGAACAUAUGUGUAAGUAACUGUGCACAUCUUGACGGUACCUAAUCAGAAAGCCACGGCUAACUACGUG
rnacentral:rRNA from 1 species